rnacentral:tRNA from 1 species
GGGCCGGUAGCUCAGCCUGGUCAGAGCGUCCGGCUGAUAACCGGAAGGUCGAGAGUUCGAAUCUCUCCCGGCCCACCA